rnacentral:rRNA from 1 species
GGGUUGUGAGGUUAAGCGACUAAGCGUACACGGUGGAUGCCCUGGCAGUCAGAGGCGAUGAAGGACGUGCUAAUCUGCGAUAAGCGUCGGUAAGGUGAUAUGAACCGUUAUAACCGGCGAUUUCCGAAUGGGGAAACCCAGUGUGUUUCGACACACUAUCAUUAACUGAAUCCAUAGGUUAAUGAGGCGAACCGGGGGAACUGAAACAUCUAAGUACCCCGAGGAAAAGAAAUCAACCGAGAUUCCCCCAGUAGCGGCGAGCGAACGGGGAGCAGCCCAGAGCCUGAAUCAGUGUGUGUGUUAGUGGAAGCGUCUGGAAAGGCGCGCGAUACAGGGUGACAGCCCCGUACACAAAAAUGCACAUACUGUGAGCUCGAUGAGUAGGGCGGGACACGUGGUAUCCUGUCUGAAUAUGGGGGGACCAUCCUCCAAGGCUAAAUACUCCUGACUGACCGAUAGUGAACCAGUACCGUGAGGGAAAGGCGAAAAGAACCCCGGCGAGGGGAGUGAAAAAGAACCUGAAACCGUGUACGUACAAGCAGUGGGAGCACGCUUAGGCGUGUGACUGCGUACCUUUUGUAUAAUGGGUCAGCGACUUAUAUUCUGUAGCAAGGUUAACCGAAUAGGGGAGCCGAAGGGAAACCGAGUCUUAACUGGGCGUUAAGUUGCAGGGUAUAGACCCGAAACCCGGUGAUCUAGCCAUGGGCAGGUUGAAGGUUGGGUAACACUAACUGGAGGACCGAACCGACUAAUGUUGAAAAAUUAGCGGAUGACUUGUGGCUGGGGGUGAAAGGCCAAUCAAACCGGGAGAUAGCUGGUUCUCCCCGAAAGCUAUUUAGGUAGCGCCUCGUGAAUUCAUCUCCGGGGGUAGAGCACUGUUUCGGCAAGGGGGUCAUCCCGACUUACCAACCCGAUGCAAACUGCGAAUACCGGAGAAUGUUAUCACGGGAGA